rnacentral:lncRNA from 1 species
UAACAGCAUUGUUCAUAUCCAUAAAUACAGGAUGGAAAUUUCAGUUAUAAAAGAACACAGGCAAAGCAGUUUCUCAGAGGAUUUACCAUUGUGUUCUUGUUGAGUACAUUGCUGGCUACUCAAAUUACUGCUGUCAUAAUUAGCAGAUCUGAAUACUGCCUCUCAGUGGGUCUGAACUAUGUCAGCAGCAGGAUACCUGAAAAAAGCAGAGAUGUUGUGACUGACUUGCCUUUGCUAUCCUUAUAA